rnacentral:rRNA from 1 species
UCAAGUAAGUAAGGGCGUACGGCGGAUGCCUUGGCCAUAUCAGCCGAAGAAGGACGCGAUAAGCUGCGAUAAGCUGCGGUGAGGUGCAAGUAACCUUUGACCCGCAGAUCUCCGAAUGGGGAAACCCGGCAGCAGUAGUGCUGUCAUCCUCUAUGAGGAAGGGCACCCGGUGAACUGAAACAUCUAAGUAGCCGGAGGAAAAGGAAUCAACAGAGAUACCCCUAGUAGCGGCGAGCGAACGGGGCAGAGCCCAAACCGGGAUGGGAAACCAAUCCGGGGUUGUGGACUGCUAUCAAAUGCAUGAGUGAAGCAGAAUGAGCUGGGAAGCUCAGCCAGAGAGAGUGAGAGCCUCGUAGGCGUAAGCAAGUGCAUGGAGCAGGAUCCGGAGUACCACGGGACACGAGAAACCCUGUGGGAAGCUGGGGGGACCACCCUCCAAGGCGAAACACUGAUAUGGACCGAUAGCGCAUAGUACCGUGAGGGAAAGGUGAAAAGAACCCCGGGAGGGGAAUGAAAGAGAACCUGAAACCGUAUGUCUACAAGCAGUCGAAGACCUUUAUAUGGUCGACGGCGUGCCUAUUGAAGAAUGAACCGGCGAGUUACUUCAGCUAGCGAGGUUAAGCAGAAAAUGCGGAGCCGCAGCGAAAGCGAGUCUGAACAGGGCGUAUAGUUAGUUGGAGUAGACCCGAAACCACAGUGAUCUACCCAUGUCCAGGUUGAAGCACAGGUAAAAAUGUGUGGAGGACCGAACCAGUGAGCGUUGAAAAGCUUUUGGAUGAGAUGUGGGUAGGGGUGAAAUGCCAAUCGAACGUGGAGAUAGCUGGUUCUCCCCGAAAUAGCUUUAGGGCUAGCCUCAUGGCGAGAGUACAGGCGGUAGAGCACUGAACGGGGUAGGGGCCUAUCCGGCUACUGAACCUAAUCAAACUGCGAAUGGCUGUACUUAUCCAUGGGAGUCAGACUGUGAGUAAUAAGGCCCAUAGUCAAGAGGGAAACAGCCCAGACCAACAGCUAAGGUCCCCAAUGCCGUACUAAGUGGCGAAGGAUGUGGAAUUUCGAAAACAACCAGGAUGUUGGCUCAGAAGCAGCCACCAUUAAAAGAGUGCGUAAUAGCUCACUGGUCGAGAGACUCUGCGCCGAAGAUGUCCGGGGCUAAAGUACGGAACCGAAGCUUUGGCAAUUAACAUAAGUUAAUUGGGUAGGGGAGCGUUCCUGCAUGGGAGAAGCCUGACCGGAAGGACAGGUGGACAGGCAGGAAGAGAGAAUGCCGGUAUGAGUAGCGAAAAGAAGGGUGAGAAUCCCUUCCACCGAAAGCCUAAGGGUUCCUGGGCAACGAUCGUCGUCCCAGGGUAAGUCGGGACCUAAUCCGAGGCGGAGACGCGUAGGAGAUGGACAACAGGUUGAAAUUCCUGUACUGGCUGAGGCCGUUUGAGCGAAGGAGUGACACAGGAAGGAAGGCGCGCGUGCGAAUGGAAGAGCACGUCCAAGCAGGUAGGUCGGGAGACAGGCAAAUCCGUUUCCCAUAAGGCCGAGAUGCGAUGGGGAGCUUCUGGAGACAGAAGCGAAGGGGCUGGCACUAAACUGUCGAGAAAAGCUUCUAGUGAGGACUCAGGCACCCGUACCGAAACCGACACAGGUAGGCAGGAUGAGAAUUCUAAGGUGCGCGGGAAAACCCUCGUUAAGGAACUCGGCAAAAUAUAUCCGUAACUUCGGGAAAAGGAUAACCCAGCGUACGUGAAGUGCAGAAACGCAUGGAGCGGAGAUGGGUGGCAGAAGAGAGGCCCAAGCGACUGUUUACCACAAACACAGGCGUCUGCUAAAGCGAAAGCUGAUGUAUAGAUGCUGACACCUGCCCGGUGCUGGAAGGUUAAGAGGAAGUGUUAGCGCAAGCGAAGCAGUGAAUUGAAGCCCCAGUAAACGGCGGCCGUAACUAUAACGGUCCUAAGGUAGCGAAAUUCCUUGUCGGGUAAGUUCC